rnacentral:rRNA from 1 species
GUGGGGAAUAUUGGGCAAUGGGGGAAACCCUGACCCAGCGACGUCGCGUGAGGGAAGAAGGCCUUAGGGUCGUAAACCUCUGUUGUGUGGGAAGAAGAGCGUGACGGUACCACACGAGGAAGUCCCGGCUAACUACGUGCCAGCAGCCGCGGUAAUACGUAGGGGACGAGCGUUGUCCGGAUUUACUGGGCGUAAAGGGCGCGUAGGCGGUCAUUUAAGUCAGCUGUGAAAUGGUUUGGCUUAACCGGAUCAUGCGGUUGAAACUGGAUGACUGGAGUGCUGGAGAUGCAAGUGGAAUUCCCAGUGUAGCGGUGAAAUGCGUAGAUAUUGGGAAGAACACCGGUGGCGAAGGCGACUUGCUGGCCAGUAACUGACGCUGAGGCGCGAAAGCCAGGGGAGCAAACGGGAUUAGAAACCCCGGUAGUCC